CAUGCAAGUCGGACGAGGGUUGUGGUGCUUGCACGGCAAUCCUAGUGGCGAACGGGUGAGUAACGCGUUGGUGACCUGCCCCGAAGAGGGGGAUAACAGCUCGAAAGGGCUGCUAAUACCCCAUGUGGUCAUAGAGGUUAGAGGCUAUAUGAUUGAAGGAGCGAUCCGCUUCGGGAGGGGCCUGCGUCCCAUCAGCUAGUUGGUAGGGUAAAGGCCUACCAAGGCGAUGACGGGUAGGGGACCUGAGAGGGUGACCCCCCACACUGGCACUGAAACACGGGCCAGACACCUACGGGUGGCAGCAGUAGGGAAUAUUGCACAAUGGGCGAAAGCCUGAUGCAGCAACGCCGCGUGCGCGAUGAAGGCCUUCGGGUUGUAAAGCGCUUUUCGGGGAGAUGAGGAAGGACA
rnacentral:rRNA from 1 species